rnacentral:rRNA from 1 species
GAUGAACGCUGGCGGCGUGCCUCAAACAUGCAAGUCGAGCGGGGCUAUGUAAUAUCGCAAGGUAGAACAUAGCCUAGCGGCGAACGGGUGAGUAACACGUGGGUAACCUGCCUGGAAGACAGGGAUAACGAUUCGAAAGGGUCGCUAAUACCUGAUAAUAUCCUUUCAUCGCAUGGUGAUAGGAAGAAAGGGGAAACCCGCUUUCAGAUGGGCCCGCGUCCCAUCAGCUAGUUGGUAAGGUAAAGGCUUACCAAGGCGACGACGGGUAGCCGGUCUGAGAGGAUGUACGGCCACACUGGGACUGAGAUACGGCCCAGACUCCUACGGGAGGCAGCAGUUGGGAAUCUUAGGCAAUGGACGAAAGUCUGACCUAGCGACGCCGCGUGAGGGAAGAAGGCCUUCGGGUUGUAAACCUCUGUCAUGGGGAGAAGUAAGUGACGGUACCCAAGAGGAAGCCCCUGCUAACUACGUGCCAGCAGCCGCGGUAAAAGUACUACUAU